GACGAACGCUGGCGGCGUGCUUAACACAUGCAAGUCGAACGGAAAGGCCUGCUUUCCCUUGUGGAUUGCGGGUACUCGAGUGGCGAACGGGUGAGUAACACGUGAGUGAUCUGCCCCCAACUUGGGUAUAAGCCUGGGAAACUGGGUCUAAUUCCCGAUAGGACUGCAGGGUGGUGCCUGUGGUGGAAAACGAUUUUCUAGUGGUUGGGGAUGAGCUCGCGGCCUAUCAGCUUGUUGGUGGGGUAAUGGCCUACCAAGGCGGCGACGGGUAGCCGGCCUGAGAGGGUGGACGGGCACAUUGGGACUGAGAUACGGCCCAGACUCCUACGGGAGGCAGCAGUGGGGAAUAUUGCACAAUGGGCGGAAGCCUGAUGCAGCGACGCCGCGUGGGGGAUGACGGCCUUCGGGUGGUAAACUCCUUUCGACCGCGAGGAAGCCGCCUGGUUGGAAGGGUGGUGACGGUAGUGGUAGAAGAAGCACCGGCUAACUACGUG
rnacentral:rRNA from 1 species